CAAUAGCGUAUAUUAAAGUUGUUGCGGUUAAAAAGCUCGUAGUUGGAUUUCUGCUGAGGACGACCGGUCCGCCCUCCGGGUGAGUAUCUGGCUCGGCCUGGGCAUCUUCUUGGAGAACGUUGCUGCACUUGAUUGUGUGGCGCGGAAUUCAAGACUUUUACUUUGAGGAAAUUAGAGUGUUUCAAGCAGGCACACGCCUUGAAUACAUUAGCAUGGAAUAAUAAGAUAGGACCUCGGUUUUAUUUUGUUGGUUUCUAGAGCUGAGGUAAUGAUUAAUAGGGAUAGUUGGGGGCAUUCGUAUUUAACUGUCAGAGGUGAAAUUCUUGGAUUUGCUAAAGACGGACUACUGCGAAAGCAUUUGCCAAGGAUGUUUUCAUCGA
rnacentral:rRNA from 1 species